GACGAACGCUGGCGGCGUGCUUAACACAUGCAAGUCGAACGGAAAGGCCCUGCUUUUGUGGGGUGCUCGAGUGGCGAACGGGUGAGUAACACGUGAGUAACCUGCCCUUGACUUUGGGAUAACUUCAGGAAACUGGGGCUAAUACCGGAUAGGAGCUCCUGCUGCAUGGUGGGGGUUGGAAAGUUUCGGCGGUUGGGGAUGGACUCGCGGCUUAUCAGCUUGUUGGUGGGGUAGUGGCUUACCAAGGCUUUGACGGGUAGCCGGCCUGAGAGGGUGACCGGCCACAUUGGGACUGGGAUACGGCCCAGACUCCUACGGGAGGCAAGAGUGGGGAAUAUUGCACAAUGGGCGGAAGCCUGAUGCAGCAACGCCGCGUGCGGGAUGACGGCCUUCGGGUUGUAAACCGCUUUCGCCUGUGACGAAGCGUGAGUGACGGUAAUGGGUAAAGAAGCACCGGCUAACUACGUG
rnacentral:rRNA from 1 species